rnacentral:rRNA from 1 species
GGCCAGACUCCUACGGGAGGCAGCAGUGAGGAAUAUUGGUCAAUGGCCGGAAGGCUGAACCAGCCAAGCCGCGUGAAGGACGAAGGUGCCAAGCAUUGUAAACUUCUUUUGUCAAGGGACAAAAUCAGGCUCGAGAGCCUGACCGAGGGUACUUGAAGAAAAAGCAUCGGCUAACUCCGUGCCAGCAGCCGCGGUAAUACGGAGGAUGCGAGCGUUAUCCGGAUUUAUUGGGUUUAAAGGGUGCGUAGGCGGAAUGCCAAGUCAGCGGUAAAAUCGCGGGGCUCAACCUCGCUCCGCCGUUGAAACUGGCGGGCUGGAGUUGGAGAGAAGUACGCGGAAUGCGCGGUGUAGCGGUGAAAUGCUUAGAUAUCGCGCAGAACCCCGAUUGCGAAGGCAGCGUACCGGCUCCACACUGACGCUGAGGCACGAAAGCGUGGGUAUCGAACAGGAUUAGAUACCCCAGUAC